UCUGACCGAGCAACGCCGCGUGAGUGAAGAAGGUUUUCGGAUCGUAAAACUCUGUUGGUAGAGAAGAACGUUGGUGAGAGUGGAAAGCUCAUCAAGUGACGGUAACUACCCAGAAAGGGACGGCUAACUACGUGCCAGCAGCCGCGGUAAUACGUAGGUCCCGAGCGUUGUCCGGAUUUAUUGGGCGUAAAGCGAGCGCAGGUGGUUUAUUAAGUCUGGUGUAAAAGGCAGUGGCUCAACCAUUGUAUGCAUUGGAAACUGGUAGACUUGAGUGCAGGAGAGGAGAGUGGAAUUCCAUGUGUAGCGGUGAAAUGCUGUAGAUAUAUGGAGGAACACCGGUGGCGAAAGCGGCUCUCUGGCCUGUAACUGACACUGAGGCUCGAAAGCGUGGGGAGCAAACAGGAUUAGAUACCCUGGUAGUCCACGCCGUAAACGAUGAGUGCUAGAUGUAGGGAGCUAUAAGUUCUCUGUAUCGCAGCUAACGCAAUAAGCACUCCGCCUGGGGAGUACGACCGCAAGGUUGAAACUCAAAGGAAUUGACGGGGGCCCGCACAAGC
rnacentral:rRNA from 1 species